UAAAAAAGGGUUCAUUUGAGUAGUAUACAUUGUUGCUGGCCUUAGGCAUGUGCACGGUUUACUACUUUGAAUCCGGUUUUAUAUAAUCCACCUGUGCACUUUUUGUAGAAGUUCUUGCUGUUCCUUACCAUGUUGUAAUGACUCGGUGAAGUGUUGUGAGGCUUCUAUGUUUUCUAACAAACUUAUGUAUGUUUAGAAUGUUUUUGUUGUAUUGGGACUUCAUUGACCCUUUAAACUAUAUAAUACAACUUUCAGCAAUGGAUCUCUUGGCUCUCCCAUCGAUGAAGAACGCAGCGAAAUGCGAUAAGUAAUGUGAAUUGCAGAAUUCAGUGAAUCAUCGAAUCUUUGAACGCACCUUGCACCCUCUGGUAUUCCGGAGGGUAUGCCUGUUUGAGUGUCAUUAAAUUCUCAACUUCAAAGAAAGCUGUUGUUUUCUUUUGGAGCUUGGUUGUGGAGGUUUUGUUGGCAGCGCUUUGUUGUCAGCUCCUCUUAAAUGUAUCAGUGGGAUCCUUAACUUCUCCGUUGUGUUGGUCCACCUUGGUGUGAUAAUUAUCUACAUCUUGGUGGUUCAAUUGUUCUUCUCAGUUCUUUCUUGAAUUGGUUGAGAUAUUGUGAUAAUAAAGCUUUAUCUGUUCAUUUGGAGAUAUUUUGUGAAGUCUGCUUUCUAAUUGUCUCUUGAGACUCUAAUUUGACUAUUUGACCUCAAAUCAGGUAGGACUACCCGCUGAACUUAAGCAUAUCAAUAAGCGGAGGAAAAGAAACUAACAAGGAUUCCCCUAGUAACUGCGAGUGAAGAGGGAAAAGCUCAAAUUUGAAAUCUGGCAGUCUUUUGAUUGUCCGAGUUGUAA
rnacentral:rRNA from 1 species